rnacentral:rRNA from 1 species
CACGUAGGCACCAAGCGUUGUCCGGAUUCAUUGGGCGUAAAGGGUGCGUAGGCGGCGCGGUAAGUCGGGUGUGAAAUCUCGGGGCUUAACUCCGAAACUGCAUUCGAUACUGCGGUGCUUGAGGACUGGAGAGGAGACUGGAAUUUACGGUGUAGCAGUGAAAUGCGUAGAGAUCGGCAGGAACACCAGUGGCGAAGGCGGCCACCUAGCCCGCACCUGACGCUGAGGCGCGACAGCGUGGGGAGCGAACUGG